rnacentral:rRNA from 1 species
CACUUAACAGCUAGCCUCCACCCAAAAAACAACAAACACAUUAAAUAACCCCAAAACCACUUAAUCCAACAAAACAAACCAUUUUUUAUCCUAAGUAUAGGCGAUAGAAAAGGAAAACAGAGCGAUAGACCAAGUACCGCAAGGGAACGCUGAAAGAGAAAUGAAACAACCCAGUCAAGUACAAAAAAGCAGAGAUUAGCCCUCGUACCUUUUGCAUCAUGAAUUAGCAAGAAAGCUUUAGGCGAAGUGCACUUUAGUCUAACUCCCCGAAACUGGACGAGCUACUCCGAGACAGCCCAUAUGGGGCACAUCCGUCUCUGUGGCAAAAGAGUGGAAAGAGCUCCGAGUAGAGGUGAUAGGCCUACCGAGCCCAGUUAUAGCUGGUUGUCCGGAAAAUGAGUAUAAGCUCAGCUUUUUGGCUUCUUACCUCACCAGAUGUAUAAACAGAACCGAAUUUAAGAAACCAAAAAAGUUAGUCAAAGGGGGUACAGCUCCUUUGACCCAAGAAACAACUUUAUGCAGGAGGAUAAGGAUCAUAAUAAUCAAGGCUUGGUGUUUAGGUGGGCCUAAGAGCAGCCAUCCUGUUGAAAGCGUUAAAGCUCAAACACUAUCACGCCCCCAAUUCCGAUAACACAUCCCAACCCCUGACCUGUACCGGACCUCUCUAUGCCCCCAUAGAAGAGAUAAUGCUAAUAUGAGUAAUAAGGGGCCAUCGACCCCCUCCAAGCACAAGUGUACAUCGGAACGAACCCACGCCGAAAUUUAACGGACCCAAACAAAGAGGGAAAUGAACAUUAAACCAAACAACUAGAAAAACCUCCACCUCCCAACCGUUACCCCUACACUGGUGUGCCUAAUAGGAAAGACUAAAAGAAAAAGAAGGAACUCGGCAAACCCCUAGCCUCGCCUGUUUACCAAAAACAUCGCCUCUUGUAUAACCACAGAUAAGAGGUCACGCCUGCCCUGUGACUAUAUGUUCAACGGCCGCGGUAUUUUGACCGUGCAAAGGUAGCGCAAUCACUUGUCCUUUAAAUGGGGACCUGUAUGAAUGGCAUGACGAGGGCUUAACUGUCUCCUUUUUCAAGUCAAUGAAAUUGACCUCCCCGUGCAGAGGCGGAGAUUAACACAUAAGACGAGAAGACCCUAUGGAGCUUUAGACGCAAAGCAGACCCUGUCAAAACCCCUUGAAUAAAAGAACAAACUAAGGGAAUACUGCCUUGAUGUCUUUGGUUGGGGCGACCGCGGGGAAAUGUAAAACCCCCGCAUGGAAUAAAAGAAUCCUUUUAGAGACAAGAGCUACUGCUCUAAUAAACAGAACAUCUGACCAGCGAAGAUCCGGCCAAGCCGAUCAACGAACCAAGUUACCCUAGGGAUAACAGCGCAAUCUCCUUUUAGAGCCCAUAUCGACAAGGGGGUUUACGACCUCGAUGUUGGACCAGGACAUCCUAAUGGUGCAGCCGCUAUUAAGGGUUCGUUUGUUCAACGAUUAAAGUCCUACGUGAUCUGAGUUCAGACCGGAGUAAUCCAGGUCAGUUUCUAUCUAUGAAGUACCCUUUUCUAGUACGAAAGGACCGAAAAGGAGGGGUCUCUGUUAAAAACACACCCCAGACUCACCUGUUGCACCCAACUAAAACAGACAAGAGGACACACCCACAAGUCAAAGAACAUGACAU